UACGUAGGGUGCGAGCGUUUAAUCGGAAUUACUGGGCGUAAAGCGUGCGCAGGCGGCUUCGCAAGUCAGACGUGAAAUCCCCGGGCUUAACCUGGGAAUGGCGUUUGAAACUACGGAGCUGGAGUGUGGCAGAGGGAGGUAGAAUUCCACGUGUAGCGGUGAAAUGCGUAGAUAUGUGGAGGAAUACCGAUGGCGAAGGCAGCCCCCCUGGGCCAACACUGACGCUCAUGCACGGAAAGCGUGGGGAGCAAACAGG
rnacentral:rRNA from 1 species